CCGUGAUGAACUAACCGUCUGUCGCUGGGGAGGAGUUCCGAUUGGGAAAUUGCCCCUUUAAUAAAUAUGAAGAACAGAAGUAUACACUAUAUAAAAGUAUUAUAAAUACCCUUUAUAUUUUUAUGUUUAAUUGAUUUUACAUUUUUUAACCAUAAGUUAAUUAUUUUUAAUUAAGUGUAGUUAUUCUUAAUUGUUACUAAUGUAACUUUAUAUAGUAAUUUAACUAUUUUGUUAAGAUUUAUUAAUAUCGAUUAACCCUUCUGAGUAACAUCUCAAAAGUCAUAGCAAGGUAGCUUGUACUGGAA
rnacentral:rRNA from 1 species